GAGAGAGGGAUUUAUAAUUUAUUACAUUUCUUUAAAAAUAAAUAAAAAAAAUUAUGCACUAAUUCUUUUUGCCCUCUUCACCACCAUCCUCCAAGUAGGCCUUCUUUCUUCUGUCAAAUUUAGCAAAUAAGCAAAUCACAAGAAAACACGUGGCGUAAAUCCCAUGAACCUUCCAAGUAGCCUUGGGUGGCUGGUGCAAGACCACCCUGUGGAACACUGCUACGUAGAAAUGAAGCCCAACAGCUAAGCCUACGAAGAUCUGGCCCAGACCCAGCAAUUUUGAGCCCAGCCCAGAUUCAGUUGAAAACACCAGAAUCAAGUACAUCAACAACAACAAGAGGUACAAAAC
rnacentral:misc_RNA from 1 species